rnacentral:lncRNA from 1 species
AGGAAACGAGGCAAGCCCCCUUCCCCGUCCCACCCCGUCAAGGGCGCGGUGCGGGGUGGGAGAAACGAAUUACCCCCAACUCGUCCCUUUGCCAUCACCAUUCAGAUCCUUCUAUACUUCUAAUGAGAAAAAAAUGAGUGCAAGAUUUUACAAUUUCAAUGAACCGUGUUGAGGAAAGAAAGUGUAGAACUUGAAGUUGCAUCAACUCUCUUUUAAACUGUCUUCUUAGAGAAAUUUUGUUUUCAAUAAAAGAAGUUUACGUUGAACAUGCCUACAUUUGAAUGAUCGCAAGAAGCAUGUCAAGAUCAUUCCUGCAAUGACUUUUGUCAAACAUGCAAUUACUCGAAUAGAUGAAAGUCGAGCUAAAAUUAAUAGAAACUCAGAGGAUAGAAUUAAAAUGAUGUAAGAUGAAGCUGCUUAUGUGCAUAUUACAUUGGAUACAUAUACCAGUUUUUAUUUUACACACGUCAUAGAGGAUGAAAGCCAACAACAUUGUAUCCACACCUCAAAUCAGUCAAAGUCACUCUUCUUUACUCCUCUCUUCAUAUUCUUCGACAUUAUUGACAAUUUUAAGGAACCCUCCGGCAUAAUAAAAGAAUAGCUUCACACCUGAGCAAAACUUAAAAAUGAUACACAUUAACAACCUUUGACAUGCCUUCAAAGAAAAUAAUAGAAGAACGUUAUUCUAGGGAAAAAUAUUCUAGCCCAAGAAUCUUUACACGUACUAACAAUAAAGCAUUUUGAGUCCGGUAUCAAUCUACGAGACCGAAAAACUAAAAUAAGAGCAAUUUAUAAAUCCUCAACUCUUCUUUACUUCCAGAACUCUAGAAGCGAGGCAAAGAGAGGGGACAAAAAGGACUUUGAGCAUGUUUAGCUAAAAGCUUAAAUAGUUCACUGGUAGGUAUGGAUUUUAAAAUAAACAAAUUUAUUUUUAUCAAAUUGCAAUUAAGCAAAUUGCUUGUUUUGACAAUCAAGAGUCACUUUCAAAAUUUUUUUUUUUUUUUUUU